AGUGAACGCUGGCGGCGUGCUUAACACAUGCAAGUCGAACGAGAACGGGAUAUAGCUUGCUAUAUUUGUCAGCUAAGUGGCGCACGGGUGAGUAAUGUAUAGAUAACCUGCCCUCUAGAAAGGAAUAACAGUUGGAAACGACUGCUAAUGCCCUAUAUGCCUUUAAUACAUAAGUAUGCAAGGGAAACGCUUUAGUGCUAGAGGAUGGGUCUGUAUGGUAUCAGCUUGUUGGUGAGGUAAUGGCUCACCAAGGCUAUGACGCCUAACUGGUUUGAGGGGAUGAGAGGUCACACUGGAACUGAGACACGGUCCAGACUCCUAGGGGAGGCAGAAGUGGGGAAUAUUGCACAAUGGAAGAAAGUCGGAUGCAGCAACGCCGCGUGGAGGAUGAAAAAUUUCGGUGCGUAAACUCCUUUUAUAUAGGAAGAUAAUGACGGUACUAUAUGAAUAAGCACCGGCUAACUCCGUGCCAGCCGCCGCGGUAA
rnacentral:rRNA from 1 species